ACUCCUACGGGAGGCAGCAGUAGGGAAUCUUCCACAAUGGGCGCAAGCCUGAUGGAGCAACACCGCGUGAGUGAAGAAGGGUUUCGGCUCGUAAAGCUCUGUUGUUAAAGAAGAACACGUAUGAGAGUAACUGUUCAUACGUUGACGGUAUUUAACCAGAAAGUCACGGCUAACUACGUGCCAGCAGCCGCGGUAAUACGUAGGUGGCAAGCGUUAUCCGGGUAUUUAUUGGGCGUAAAGAGAGUGCAGGCGGUUUUCUAAGUCUGAUGUGAAAGCCUUCGGCUUAACCGGAGAAGUGCAUCGGAAACUGGAUAACUUGAGUGCAGAAGAGGGUAGUGGAACUCCAUGUGUAGCGGUGGAAUGCGUAGAUAUAUGGAAGAACACCAGUGGCGAAGGCGGCUACCUGGUCUGCAACUGACGCUGAGACUCGAAAGCAUGGGUAGCGAACAGGAUUAGAUACCCCUGGUAGGAUAGCG
rnacentral:rRNA from 1 species